AGCAGAGUGGCGCAGUGGAAGCGUACUGAUUCAAUAACCCAGAAGUCCGUGGAUCGAAACCACGCUGUGCUA